GGACGAACGCUGGCGGCGUGCCUAACACAUGCAAGUCGAGCGGGAACCUCAGGAGGGGUAACCCUUCCGAGGGGAGAGCGGCGCACGGGUGAGUAACACGUGGGCAACCUGCCCCGGACACCGGGAUAACCCAGGGAAACCUGAGCUAAUACCGGAUACUCCGGCGCGAUCGCAUGGUCGCGCCGGGAAAGCUCCGAUGGUCCGGGAUGGGCCCGCGGCCUAUCAGCUUGUUGGUGGGGUAACGGCCCACCAAGGCGACGACGGGUAGCUGGUCUGAGAGGACGGCCAGCCACACUGGGACUGAGACACGGCCCAGACUCCUACGGGAGGCAGCAGUGGGGGAUCUUGCGCUAAUGCGCGAAAGCGUGACGCAGCGACGCCGCGUGGGGGAUGAAGGCCUCCGGGUUGUAAACCCCUUUCGGCAGGGACGAGGGGAAACUGACGGUACCUGCAGAAGAAGUCGCGGCUAACUACGUGC
rnacentral:rRNA from 1 species